AUCCGAGUGAUCUGGACGUUCUCCAUCCUUGGACUCUGGGAAGCAAAGGUCCCUGUGCCUUUGUCCCACAAAAUUCCUUGAACCUAGAUUUAAAGAUGCUUCAAAAUAAGAAGUUGAGCUUUUAAAUUAAAAUUAGCUCCCUAAAUGUCUGCAUAUGGUAUAUUUCUUGUAGUAUUUUGUUUCUCAUGUACAGACAAUAGGGUGCCUAAAAUGAGAACCAUUUCUCUUUUUCUGUGCAUUUGUGGUGAACUUUUAAGAAAACAUGUACUGUUUUCCACAUAUUUCAUGAGUUUUAUUGUCUAUAAACUUCAUAAAGUAUCUCUGGAAAGAUACACAAGGAAGCAAUAAUACCAGCAGCUGAUGGAGUGCAAAAUUUAAAAAUUUUGAAACCUGUGAAUGUAUUUCCUGUUUUUUUUUAAAAAGUUAACUUUUUAAAAAAUGUCUUUAAAAUAGGGGCAGAUAUUCAGGGAAAAAAAACACAACUUUUUUUUUUCGAGGGGUUGGGGUGGGGGAAAAUUAGCCCAAUAUAUUAAAUUAGCCCAAUAUACUAGAGUCACUAAACUUAAUCCUCAACCAUUCAAAUCUCGGCGCUUAAAUGCCGUGAAGUCAUGUCUGUCUUCUUGCAGAGGACCCUCAGUCACAGUAUAGCGCUUGUGUAAAGAGCAUGGAGAGCUAAAUAAAUAUUUGUUGAUUGCUGAAAAUAUAAGUGUCAAAAUGUUAUGUUUUGAAGAUUUUUCUAUUCUGUGUGAAGACUAAGUCCUCAAGACACUUCGUUUUCCUGUAUCAUCCUUACAGUGAUGAGGUUGAGGCUCAGCGUGCUUGCUUCUUGCCCCCGAGCCUCUGUGAGAACGCUAACUGAAGAACUCUUCCCAUUCCACUGGCUCGGAGAAGGAAGAGCCAGACGAAAGCCUACCCCAGUGUCAUCUCUACCUCUGGGCACAUACAGACACGGAUAAGGAAAAAAGAGCUUCCAACAAGUCUAAGGAGAAGAUGACCAGCACCAAAAAUGUCUGAUGGUUAGGUUACAGCACCCUGCUCCCCAACUAAGGCUUUGGUUCCGUCAGUCUGGCAACCUCACACACUUCAGUCGCAAGCGAGACACAGAGAGUAAACAAGAAGAGGCCUCCCAGGAACCAAAAUAAUGAUCACACGUUGUAGGCCCGGUGCACACACUCAGAUGUGUACAGGCAGGUAAGUGAAAAAAGUAAGUGAAGCUAGUGGAGGGGAGGAAAAACAGGGCUAAUGAGUUCACAAGUGGCAGCUAACACUUGGCCAAGGCGUCGAGGACGUUGAGGGAGGGUGGGGACCUUGGCCAAGAGCCAUCGUCCCACCUAAAGGAAGCAGCUGCCUCUCAACGCCAGCAAUUAAUGCCACGCUAGAUCAUGGGCCCAGGGCUCCCAGCUCUUCAGAUACUUUAAGAGAGAAAUCUGAAUUU